GAUGAACGCUGGCGGCGUGCCUAAUACAUGCAAGUCGAGUGAACGGACGAGAAGCUUGCUUCUCUGAUGUUAGCGGCGGACGGGUGAGUAACACGUGGAUAACCUACCUAUAAGACUGGGAUAACUUCGGGAAACCGGAGCUAAUACCGGAUAAUAUUUUGAACCGCAUGGUUCAAAAGUGAAAGACGGUCUUGCUGUCACUUAUAGAUGGAUCCGCGCUGCAUUAGCUAGUUGGUAAGGUAACGGCUUACCAAGGCAACGAUGCAUAGCCGACCUGAGAGGGUGAUCGGCCACCCUGGAACUGAGACACGGUCCAGACUCCUACGGGAGGCAGCAGUAGGGAAUCUUCCGCAAUGGGCGAAAGCCUGACGGAGCAACGCCGCGUGAGUGAUGAAGGUCUUCGGAUCGUAAAACUCUGUUAUUAGGGAAGAACAUAUGUGUAAGUAACUGUGCACAUCUUGACGGUACCUAAUCAGAAAGCCACGGCUAACUACGUG
rnacentral:rRNA from 1 species